rnacentral:lncRNA from 1 species
AUGACAACACAGCAGCAGCAGCAAGUUUCUCACCAAUGGCACCGGCUCAUUCACUCCAGGUGCAGAACGUACACAUACAACUCUGAAGCCCCAGACAAUGCUGCUAUAAACCAAAAAAAUCCAGACACAACAACUGUGAAGACAAUCAGAGAACAUACACUUGCUUUAAAACAGCACCGAGAAGGUCCCUCCUUUGCCACACUUCACCUGUUGCGGACCCGCUCCCUCCCUGUCGGUGCGCACCCACAGGUGUGCGCAGAGGUCAUACGAACGGGCAGCGCCCCGUACUCAGCGCCACGGCUCUGCCUCCAAACCGCGCUGCGUGUCACGACACAGAGGGACAGAAACGGGACAGCCCCGGCGCCUCCCUCCCGGCCCGGCCCCCCGCCGCCCCGCACCUGGCUUCACGUCGCAGCUGCACAAGCUCUCCGUGAGCUGCAGAGAUGGUCCCUCGUGUGCUUGCGAGACGGUCUGGUGCAGUGCCUUUUUUUCCUCUUCAUGGCGUUCUUUGGGUUGGCAGUGUUUACUAGCACAACUCAGGAGCAGCUCAGAUCACAAGAGGCAGGUGAGGAGGCCCCUACAUCUACUCUGUGUGCAGCUUGAAGGCAUUACCUCAGACUUUGUGAUGAUUCAGAUUCAUACAGAGAACCAGUUGCUGGUCUACUACACCAUGUCCCCAGCCAGGUGCUGGUACCCAUGUGGAGAUGUCUGUCCAGAAAAAAAAAGCUUAUGUAUUAGGUCCCUUUGAAAAUGACCUCCUCUGCAAACACCAAAACUGAACACGAUAAGAUGGGGAUAACUGCUUGCAAUCUGCCUUGCUGCUCUAAACCAGCACAUGAACCCAGAAGAAACCCAACAGCAGAUUUCGUCGUGUCACCUUCAGGCAGACGCGGCAGCCUCAGUGCGUUCCGUGCAGCCGGAGGUGAGCCUGGCUCGGCUUGAACACCAUCUCCCCAGGCCAAAGAGACCCUCGGGGACCCGGCAUGGCCGCGGGGCUGCCGGAGCCCGUCGGGGGGCGAGGGGCCCGAGGACGCCAGCAGAGGGCAGCAGGGCCCGGCGCCUGGGCGCGGUCCGGCCCGCCAGGGGUCGCCCCUCACAGCGCUGCCUCUUCCCGCCCCGGCCUGGCGCUGGGCGCUGGGCGCCGUGCGCCGUGCGGAGUGGCAGCCGAGAGCGGAUGUAGCUCUCUCUCAGAGUCCCGUUGUUUUGUCAAAACCUAGCUGGCACGAAUUUUCGGUUUCUUUCCUAGAUUUCAGUCGCUUUCUGGCUGUCGGAUGCUUUAAAAUGCUAUUCUGUGAGUGCUCUCUGCAUGAGCUAGUGUUUUGCAGAAGUCAAGGCAGCCCACAUUAUGCACAUUUGAUAUCAGACAGUAUUUUGCAAUAUGGAUAAAAAAAAAUCCACUCGAUGCUGGCGUACAUAAGCAUGGCUACUUAACCGGAUUCAAUUUCUUAAGUCCCUAGUUUAACUCUGCAGCAGUUCUGUAAAAAUCCCAUGCCAGGUGCAAUCUAAACCCCAUUUUGUCUUCCUGACUCUCACAAUCUGUUGUGAGGGAUUGUGUACUGUGAUUUUUUGUUCCCACAAGCUUAAAUAGCAGUUAGGAGUACAGUUAGAUCCAUCAGGACCGCUUACUGUGCGUAACUCUCACGGGAUGCAUUUUUCUUUCAUCAGAACUCAAUAAAAUUUUUGUCCAGUCUUUUCCA